rnacentral:rRNA from 1 species
UACGAAGGGGGCUAGCGUUGCUCGGAAUCACUGGGUUUAAAGGGUGCGUAGGAGGGCAGGUAAGUCAGUGGUGAAAUCUCCGAGCUUAACUUGGAAACUGCCGUUGAUACUAUCUGCCUUGAAUAUUGUGGAGGUGAGCGGAAUAUGUCAUGUAGCGGUGAAAUGCCUAGAUAUGACAUAGAACACCAAUUGCGAAGGCAGCUCGCUACACAUAUAUUGACUCUGAGGCACGAAAGCGUGGGGAUCAAACAGG